AGCACGCAGGCGCGGCACAGAGCUGUCGCUACGCAGGCGCAGUGCGGCCGGGCACCAGGUACAGCGGAGGGCUGGGGCCCGGCCGGCGGAUGCGCGCUCCCGGCGGGCGGGGAGCGAGGCGCGCGCCAUGGAACAGCGGUUAGCAGAGUUCCGGGCGGCCAGGAAACGGGCCGGGCUGGCGGCCGAACCUAGCACUUCGAGCGCAAGUGCACAAACCUCAGGAGAGAAGGCGGAAGCAGCUGCAACUCCAAAGGCAGCCCCAGGCUGGCUAAAACGGUUCCUGGUGUGGAAACCGAGGCCUGCGAGUAUCCAGGUCCAGCCCAGCCUCGUUCAGGAAGCGGCUUGGCCUGGGACCAGCACAUCACAGCCACCACAGAAUACAGCCAUUCCUCUGCCAGCACCCCGGGACCAGUUUUUUCUGACCAAUGUCACCUUCCUGAAGGUUCUUCUCUGGUUGGUCCUGCUGGGACUGUUUGUGGAACUGGAAUUUGGCCUGGCCUAUUUUGUCCUGUCCUUGUUCUACUGGAUGUAUGUCGGGACACGAGGCCCUGAAGAGAAGAGAGAGGGAGAGAAGAGUGCCUACUCUGUAUUCAACCCAGGCUGCGAAGCCAUCCAGGGCACCCUGACUGCAGAGCAGUUUGAACGCGAGUUACAGUUCAGACCCCUGGAGGGGAGAUAGAUCCAACUCUCUUGUUGUGCGGCUGGCCUCCCACGUGGUCCUCCUCGCCCUUGGACGUGGGCUUGUGGGUUUGAUUUCAGGUGCCCAAGACUAAGGACAGCUUGCAGAAACAGAUCCCCAUUGCCCAUCACCAUCUUCCACUCUCCUCAGUUAUUCUGCUCGCAUUCAAUGAUGGAAGAUAUGAGAAGACAGAGUCCUAAGUGACAGGUGUGGGGGGGCAUUUCACAAAGUCAGUAUUGGUCGAUUUGGUAAGUGGUUAUUCGUGGUAAAUUCAGCAAGAAAGAAAUUCUUGAGUGUGUUCAAAUAAGAGCUGUGGAAGUGGAACUCCAGACUUAAUUGGCUGAUCCGUGUGUUUCUUAUAUUCCGAGAGCUGUAGAGUAAGCAGUCCUGUUGCCUGUGGCCUCAGGUGAGAAAUUAUGUAAAAAGUGAUAACCAGACAUGAUUCAGUCAUCCUUCCUUUUCCAGUACAAAGUUAGAGUUUGGAUUCAUUAAAAUUGGGCAAAGCAAACCAUCAAAUAUCUUUUUCAUGGUUGGCACUGAUAAGUAAGAAGAGUCUUGUUUUAAAGCCAUAGUUUUUUCUUAAGAUUUUAAGAAAUUAAUGAUUCCUUAAUAGGUUUGCAACUUCAGAAUUCAGUCAUUCUUAUAUUAUGACAGUAACUUUAGUAUUUUUGAGAUAUUACUAAACAAUGGGUGCUUGUUGCUAAAUUCUUGUUUCAUUCUUGCCUGAUUUGCUUAUUAUAGCAAAACCGUAGCUCAAUUUAAAUUUAACUUGUAUUCACUGAGUGCCAGCACUCUGGUAGGUGCUUGAGAUAGGAUAAUGAAAAAAGCAGACAUAUACUCAUUGCUGUGAGCAUAUGGUCCAGCUGGGAGUGGGGUGCUGGACAAAGUAAAGCAAGCAAUAUCAAUAACAAAGUCAGGUGGGGCGCCUUGCUGGCUCAGUUGGAAGGGCUUAUGACUCUUGGUCUUGGGGUUAUGAAUUCAGGGCCCAUGUUGGGCAUACAGAUUAGUUAAACUAAAUAAUAAUUUAAAAAAUAAUAGAGUGAGAUAAGUUUCAGUAGUAGGAAGAGUAUAGAGGGGAUAUUCUCGUGAAUCACACUUUGUGGCUAACUAACCUAUGUGUUUCAGUCUUUGUUGAACAUUCUUCUCAUCUGCUGAUCAUCUCUCCCUAUGCUGACUGGGAGUUUAGCUGUCCCUCGGAGUCAUCUCUUAAGCACACGUUUCCUUUAGCUCAGGAAGAAGUCUUUUCUUUCUUGACUUCUAUCUAAGUGUGGGAAACACAUGAAUCUUUAUGAAACAGACAAGUUUUUUAUCAUAUUUAAAGAUAUAUGGUAUUGUUUCCUGACUUAUUUUCUUCAGGCUUUCUUCAUUUCUCUGAUAUUUUAUUUGGGCUUUUACAUUUCAUGAAAGUCAAAUACAAGGAGGAAAUAUCGCUGCUCAAAGACACACUCCAAUGCCCAAUUCAGUAAGCCUUGUUCUCAGGAAGAAUUUUCAUUUUAAAAAGUGUGAUUCAAAUUUUUACCUAAAACAAAGUGCCUGUAACUCUGAAUGGGGAACAUUUGAUCCAAUUAGCAAUCUCAGCAAACUAGAGACUUCGCUUAAGCAAAGCAGAGACUCAACUUAGGAGAGGAUCACACUAGCAUUCUUUGAAAAUGUAGCUAUUUAUAAUGAGGUACAGCUUGAUUGCCAUAAACCCGUCUUUCCUGGGAUUUUCUGUGCAUAAGCUGUCACCUCUCUUUCCUCACCUCUUGCCAAAGGUUGUAUGUAAUGACAGCAUUAACUUCUAGGAAAAGUGGGGUGUGAACCAAUUAAAUGCAUGGCAGAGAAGAGAGGAAGGGACAGUGUAUGUAUUUGCUGUUCUUAUCAGACCAUUAAGCUUUAGGUGCAGUCUUGAUUUCCUGAAUUUAGAAAGGCCUAUUGAUCUCAGAAUUUCCGCUCAGGGCCCCACCAUUAGCUCAGCAAGCAGCUUCCAUUAAAGGCUGCCUCUGUCACCAGGGAACUUGAAAUCCCAGACAUGCAUUCUGUCCCUAUGAUUGUUCUGUGCACGGGUGAGGUCAUUUCUGUCCGAAUCUUACAAGAAAAUUGGUUUUUGCUUUUAUUCACAUUAUCCUGUCUUGUCUAUUCACAGAGACUUCGAAAUGAACCUCUACUUGUAGGGCUGGAAGGAACCCCAAAAUGCCACCAAAUGCAUCCCCCUCACCUUGGGCACUUUAUUCCUGACAGUUUCUUUUUGUUUCCCUAGUGACCCUUUAAGAAGAAUCCAGGUACAAGAUGUAGGCACUUUUUAGGAAAUUCUUUACUGAAAGAACUUAAGCCACCCACAUUAUUUCUUAUCUAAUCUCAGGGGACACAGAGCAUCCUUCCAACCAGUGGACUGUUACUCUAUUCUCUCUCAAUCCUCCCUGUCCUUCAGGCUAAAUUAUCCACGUUGUACCUCUCGGACAAUCAAUUUCAAGUUAGCCCCAACCUGCUGUGAGGUUCCAGGGCAGGGCAGGGGUCAAUGUCCCAGUUGGUGGGUGCAGUGAGUGACUUUUCUCGAAAGCUCUAGAGUUUCACCGGUGAUGGUUUACGUAUAUAUAUCUUAUGCUAUUAGGGAUGUACUUUGAGUGUAAGAGGUCUUCCACAUUUGCCUUUUGACUGAUCUCGUCAUUAAGAUUAGGCUCUUAAGCUUUGUGCUAAAAUUU